rnacentral:rRNA from 1 species
GACGUAGGAAGCAAGCGUUGUCCGGAAUUACUGGGCGUAAAGGGUGCGUAGGCUGUUUUUUAAGUCUGAUGUGAAAUCCUGUGGCUUAACCAUAGAACUGCAUCAGAUACUGGGAGACUAGAGUGCGGAAGAGGUUGACGGAAUUACUAGUGUAGCGGUAGAAUGCGUAGAUAUUAGUAAGAAGACCGGUGGCGAAGGCGGUCAACUGGGACGUAACUGACGCUGAGGCACGAAAGCGUGGGGAGCAAACAGG